GGGAGGCUGUGGCUCAGUGGUUAAGGCGUUUGUCCUUUAACCAGAAGGUCGGUGGUUUGAUCCCAUUUUUCCCU
rnacentral:tRNA from 1 species